CCUGGCUCAGGAUGAACGCUGGCGGCGUGCUUAACACAUGCAAGUCGAACGAGCCUUCGGGCUAGUGGCGGACGGGUGAGUAACGCGUGGGAAUCUGCCCUCAGGAGGGGGAUAACGGCCGGAAACGGCCGCUAAUACCCCAUAUGCCGAGAGGUGAAACGAAUUUCGCCUGGGGAUGAGCCCGCGUCUGAUUAGCUAGUUGGUGAGGUAAUGGCUCACCAAGGCAUCGAUCAGUAGCUGGUCUGAGAGGAUGAUCAGCCACACUGGGACUGAGACACGGCCCAGACUCCUACGGGAGGCAGCAGUGGGGAAUUUUCCGCAAUGGGCGCAAGCCUGACGGAGCAACGCCGCGUGAGGGACGAAGGCCUCUGGGCUGUAAACCUCUUUUCUCAAGGAAGAAGACAUGACGGUACUUGAGGAAUAAGCCACGGCUAAUUCCGUGCCAGCAGCCGCGGUAAUACGGGAGUGGCAAGCGUUAUCCGGAAUUAUUGGGCGUAAAGCGUCCGCAGGCGGCCUUGAAAGUCUGUUGUUAAAGCGUGGAGCUCAACUCCAUUUCAGCAAUGGAAACUACAAGGCUAGAGUGUGGUAGGGGCAGAGGGAAUUCCCGGUGUAGCGGUGAAAUGCGUAGAUAUCGGGAAGAACACCAGUGGCGAAGGCGCUCUGCUGGGCCAUAACUGACGCUCAUGGACGAAAGCCAGGGGAGCGAAAGGGAUUAGAUACCCCUGUAGUCCUGGCCGUAAACGAUGAACACUAGGUGUCGGGAGAAUUAACCCUUUCGGUGUCGUAGCCAACGCGUUAAGUGUUCCGCCUGGGGAGUACGCACGCAAGUGUGAAACUCAAAGGAAUUGACGGGGGCCCGCACAAGCGGUGGAGUAUGUGGUUUAAUUCGAUGCAACGCGAAGAACCUUACCAGGGUUUGACAUCCUGCGAAUCCUUUGGAAACUUAGGAGUGCCUUCGGGAGCGCAGUGACAGGUGGUGCAUGGCUGUCGUCAGCUCGUGUCGUGAGAUGUUGGGUUAAGUCCCGCAACGAGCGCAACCCACGUCUUUAGUUGCCAGCAUUCAGUUGGGCACUCUAGAGAGACCGCCGGUGAUAAACCGGAGGAAGGUGUGGAUGACGUCAAGUCAUCAUGCCCCUUACAUCCUGGGCUACACACGUACUACAAUGCUACGGACAAAGGGCAGCAAACUCGCGAGAGCUAGCAAAUCCCAUAAACCGUGGCUCAGUUCAGAUCGUAGGCUGCAACUCGCCUACGUGAAGGAGGAAUCGCUAGUAAUCGCAGGUCAGCAUACUGCGGUGAAUACGUUCCCGGGCCUUGUACACACCGCCCGUCACACCAUGGAAGUUGGCCAUGCCCGAAGUCGUUACUCCAACCCGCAAGGGAGGAGGACGCCGAAGGUGGGGCUGAUGACUGGGGUGAAGUCGUAACAAGGUAGCCGUACCGGAAGGUGCGGCUGGAUCACCUCCUAACAGGGAGACAAUCACUGAUUGUGAUGUCUGGCUAAUUUAUUGCUAGACCAUGGUCCUGUCAUCUCGAUGGUUAAUCGGUACCUCAACCGACGGAAACGAAGUUUGAAGUUUUUCCAGAGAUGGGAAAGCUGAUGAGCUGUUGUGGAUGUCUUUUCAGUUCCUAAACUUUGUCUAGGUCACCCCCGCAAGGGAAUCCCUGGGCCAUUAGCUCAGGUGGUUAGAGCGCACCCCUGAUAAGGGUGAGGUCCCUGGUUCAAGUCCAGGAUGGCCCAUUCGUGUUCGGGGGUUUAGCUCAGUUGGUAGAGCGCCUGCUUUGCAAGCAGGAUGUCAGCGGUUCGAGUCCGCUAACCUCCACUGACCAACCCUUCCCGAUCGCGAAAACAACGGGACAGAGCUUGUGGUGGUGAAUUUAGACGAUUGUACUGA
rnacentral:rRNA from 1 species